UGAAUUAUUUCGGGCAACCAUUCAGCCCAUU
rnacentral:piRNA from 1 species